rnacentral:misc_RNA from 1 species
GAUGAAGAACGUAGCGAAAUGCGAUAAGUAAUGUGAAUUGCAGAAUUCAGUGAAUCAUCGAAUCUUUGAACGCACCUUGCGCUCUUUGGUAUUCCGAAGAGCAUGCCUGUUUGAGUGUCAUGAAAAUAUCAACCUUGACUUGGGUUUUGUGCUCUAGUCUCGGCUUGGAAUUGGGUGCUUGCCGCUUUUACGAGCGGCUCACCUUAAAUGUAUUAGCUGGAUCUGUCUUUGAGACUUGGUUUGACUUGGCGUAAUAUGUAUUUCGCUAAGGACAUUCUUCGGAGUGGCCUCGUUUCUAGGACGCUUGUCCGCUUUCCAAUACAAGUUCCACCUCGUGGACAUGACUUUUUAUUAUCUGGCCUCAAAUCAGGUAGGACUACCCGCUGAACUUAAGCAUAUCAAUAAGCGGAGGA